AUUGAACGCUGGCGGCAGGCCUAACACAUGCAAGUCGAGCGAGCGGCGGACGGGUGAGUAAUGCCUGGGAAUUGCCCAGUCGAGGGGGAUAACAGUUGGAAACGACUGCUAAUACCGCAUACGAUUGGAUUGCCCAGGUGGGAUUAGCUAGUUGGUGAGGUAAUGGCUCACCAAGGCGACGAUCCCUAGCUGGUCUGAGGGGAUGGUCAGCCAAAUGGGAACUGAGAAACGGUCAAAACUCCGAGGGGAGGCAGCAGUGGGGAAAAUUGCACAAUGGGGGAAACCCUGAGGAAGACAUGCCGCGUGUGUGAAGAAGGCCUUCGGGUGGUAAAGCACUUUCAUCGAGGAGGCGUUACUCGCAGAAGAAGCACCGGCUAACUCCGUGCCAGCCGCCGCGGUAAUAC
rnacentral:rRNA from 1 species